rnacentral:rRNA from 1 species
AGUGAACGCUGGCGGUAGGCCUAACACAUGCAAGUCGAACGGCAGCACGGUAAGAGCUUGCUCUUACGGGUGGCGAGUGGCGGACGGGUGAGGAAUACAUCGGAAUCUACUUUUUCGUGGGGGAUAACGUAGGGAAACUUACGCUAAUACCGCAUACGACCUACGGGUGAAAGCAGGGGAUCUUCGGACCUUGCGCGAUUGAAUGAGCCGAUGUCGGAUUAGCUAGUUGGCGGGGUGAAGGCCCACCAAGGCGACGAUCCGUAGCUGGUCUGAGAGGAUGAUCAGCCACACUGGACCUGAGACACGGUCCAGACUCCUACGGGAGGCAGCAGUGGGGAAUAUUGGACAGUGGGCGCAAGCCUGAUCCAGCCAUACCGCGUGGGUGAAGAAGGCCUUCGGGUUGUAAAGCCCUUUUGUUGGGAAAGAAAAGCAGCAGGUUAAUACCCCGCUGUUCUGACGGUACCCAAAGAAUAAGCACCGGCUAACUUCGU